GUCCGUAGCCGGUUUGGUACAUUCGUGGGUAAAUCAGACAGCUUAACUGUCUGAAUUCUGCGAGCACGCCCAAACUUGAGACCGGGAGAGGUGUAGGGUACCUGCGGGGUAGGGGUAAAAUCCUGUCAUCCCGUAGGGACCACCAGUUGCGAAGGCUCUACACUAGAACGGAUCUGACGGUCAGGGACGAAGCCUAGGGGCACGAACCGGAUUAGAUACCCGGGUAGUCCUAGGUGUAAACGCUGUGGACUUUGUGUCGGGAAUUCUUCGAGGAUUCUCGGUGCCGGAGUGAAGAUGUUAAGUCCACUGCCUGGGGAGUACGGUCGCAAGGCUGAAACUUAAAGGAAUUGGCGGGGGAGCACUGCAACGAGAGGAGCGUGCGGUUUAAUUGGAUUCAACGCCGGGAAACUCACCAAAGCCGACUGUUAUAUGAAGACCAGCGUAACGAGCUUGUCGGAUUUUCAGAGAGGUAGUGCAUGGCCGUCGUCAGUUCGUACCGUAAGGCGUUCUGUUAAGUCAGAUAACGAACGAGACCCCCAUCGUCAUUUGCUAACCCUUUCUCCGGAAAGGGCGCACUAUGGCGAGACCGCUGGCGUGAAGUCAGAGGAAGGCGGGGGCAACGGUAGGUCAGUAUGCUCCGAAUGCUUUGGGCUACACGCGCGCUACAAAGGACGGGACAAUGGGCAGCUACUCCGAGAGGAGAUGCUAUCCCGAAACCCGUUCGUAGUUCGGAUCGUGGGCUGUAACUCGCCCUCGUGAAGCUGGAUUUCGUAGUAAUCGCGUCUCAAAAUGGCGCGGUGAAUAUGCCCCUGCUCCUUGCACACACCGCCCGUCAAACCAUCUUAGUUUGGGGUGGGUGAGGCUACCUUUUAUUGGGGUAUCGAGCCUGCCUGCCAG
rnacentral:rRNA from 1 species